ACAAUAGCCACCUCAACUAGAAAGUGUUAUGGUAUGUUUAAAAUAGUUAUGUGAAUCUCUAGAAUAAAAUAAUACACUUCUAAAGAAAGAAGCAUAUCUAGGUGGCUUGCAAACAUAGGAAAUGCAGACGUGGCAAUUCAUCAUAUUUUAUCUACUAUCUUUUUUGAGCUGACUGUUUAGUGGUAUCUUUUCAGCCUGACACUUUUGGUUGAGAUGGAAACAUCAGAAAGCUUUAAUCAGUGAUGGAAUUAGAUUAAUUAGAAUUAAUUUCAAAUUCAUCAGACCUUCCCUAUACAGAAAGAGAGAUUUUGAGAAUUGCAAUGUGAGACAACUUUGGCUAGUGGGGAGAGGUAGAGAAUGCUGCCCUUUAAAGAAUCCUGCCUCUUUAUUAUCUAUCUUCAGCAGCUGUUGGAUUUUGCUAUCACUAGGUAUUAAACUUGAGGAGGGUCACUAAAAGCAUGUUGAUAGA
rnacentral:lncRNA from 1 species